rnacentral:rRNA from 1 species
GACGAACGCUGGCGGCGUGCCUAAUACAUGCAAGUAGGACGCAGUUGCGAACGGGUGAGUAACGCGUAGGUAACUACCUAUUAGAGGGGGAUAACUAUUGGAAACGAUAGCUCAUACCGCAUACUAGUAGAUGGACCUGCGUUGUAUUAGCUAGUAGGUAGGGUAAUGGCCUACCUAGGCAAACAUACAUAGUCGAGCUGGGAGGGUGGUCGGCCAACCUGGGACUGGAGCACGGGCCAGGAUCCUACGGGAGGGAGCCGUAGGGGAUCAUCGGAAAUGGGGGGAACCCUGGCCAAGCAACGCCGCGUUAGAGAAGAAGGGUUUCGGAGCGUAAAGCUCUGUUGUUAAGGAAGCGGUACUUAACCAGAAAGGAACGGCUAACUACGUGCCAGCAGCCGCGGUAAUAC